rnacentral:rRNA from 1 species
GACGAACGCUGGCGGCGUGCUUAACACAUGCAAGUCGAACGGAAAGGCCCUGCUUUUGUGGGGUGCUCGAGUGGCGAACGGGUGAGUAACACGUGAGUAACAUGCCCUUGACAUUGGGAUAACUUCAGGAAACUGGGGCUAAUAUCGGAUAGGAGAUCCUGCUGCAUGGUGGGGGUUGGAAAGUUUCGGCGGUUGGGGAUGGACUCGCGGCUUAUCAGCUGGUUGGUGGGGUAGUGGCUUACCAAGGCUUUGACGGAUAGCCGGCCUGAGAGGGUGACCGGCCACAUUGCGACUGAGAUACGGCCCAGUCUCCUACGUGAGGCAGCAGUGGGGAAUAUUGCACAAUGGGCGGAAGCCUGAGGCAGCAACGCCGCGUGCGUGAUGACGUCCUUCGGGUUGUAAACCUCUUUCGCCUGUGACGAAGCGUGAGUGACGGUAAUGGGUAAAGAAGCACCGGCUAACUACGUG